UAUCGGAGUCCGAUUUAGCCAUGCUAGUUGUGCGGGUUUAGACCCGCAGCGGAAAGCUCAGUAACACGUGGCCAAGCUACCCUGUGGACGGGAAUACUCUCGGGAAACUGAGGCUAAUCCCCGAUAACGCUUUGCUCCUGGAAGGGGCAAAGCCGGAAACGCUCCGGCGCCACAGGAUGCGGCUGCGGUCGAUUAGGUAGACGGUGGGGUAACGGCCCACCGUGCCCAUAAUCGGUACGGGUUGUGAGAGCAAGAGCCCGGAGACGGAAUCUGAGACAAGAUUCCGGGCCCUACGGGGCGCAGCAGGCGCGAAACCUUUACACUGUACGAAAGUGCGAUAAGGGGACUCCGAGUGUGAAGGCAUAGAGCCUUCACUUUUGUACACCGUAAGGUGGUGCACGAAUAAGGACUGGGCAAGACCGGUGCCAGCCGCCGCGGUAAUACCGGCAGUCCGAGUGAUGGCCGAUCUUAUUGGGCCUAAAGCGUCCGUAGCUGGCUGAACAAGUCCGUUGGGAAAUCUGUCCGCUUAACGGGCAGGCGUCCAGCGGAAACUGUUCAGCUUGGGACCGGAAGACCUGAGGGGUACGUCUGGGGUAGGAGUGAAAUCCUGUAAUCCUGGACGGACCGCCGGUGGCGAAAGCGCCUCAGGAGAACGGAUCCGACAGUGAGGGACGAAAGCUAGGGUCUCGAACCGGAAUUAGAUACCCGGGUAGUCCUAGCUGUAACGAUGUCCGCUAGGUGUGGCGCANGCUACAGCCUGCGCUGUGCCGUAGGAA
rnacentral:rRNA from 1 species